rnacentral:rRNA from 1 species
GAUGAACGCUGGCGGCGUGCCUAAUACAUGCAAGUCGAGCGAACGGACGAGAAGCUUGCUUUUCUGAUGUUAGCGGCGGACGGGUGAGUAACACGUGGAUAACCUACCUAUAAGACUGGGAUAACUUCGGGAAACCGGAGCUAAUACCGGAUAAUAUUUUGAACCGCAUGGUUCAAAAGUGAAAGACGGUCUUGCUGUCACUUAUAGAUGGAUCCGCGCUGCAUUAGCUAGUUGGUAAGGUAACGGCUUACCAAGGCAACGAUGCAUAGCCGACCUGAGAGGGUGAUAGGCCACACUGGAACUGAGCCACGGUCCAGACUCCUACGGGAGGCAGCAGUAGGGAAUCUUCCGCAAUGGGCGAAAGCCUGACGGAGCAACGCCGCGUGAGUGAUGAAGGUCUUCGGAUCGUAAAACUCUGUUAUUAGGGAAGAACAUAUGUGUAAGUAACUGUGCACAUCUUGACGGUACCUAAUCAGAAAGCAACGGCUAACUACGUG